CUACGGGAGGCAGCAGUGGGGAAUUUUCCGCAAUGGGCGAAAGCCUGACGGAGCAAGACCGCGUGGGGGAAGAAGGCUCUUGGGUUGUAAACCCCUUUUCUCUGGGAAGAAAGUUGUGAAAGCAGCCUGACGGUACCAGAGGAAUCAGCAUCGGCUAACUCCGUGCCAGCAGCCGCGGUAAGACGGAGGAUGCAAGCGUUAUCCGGAAUGAUUGGGCGUAAAGCGUCCGCAGGUGGCAGUUCAAGUCUGCUGUCAAAGACCGGGGCUUAACCUCGGAAAGGCAGUGGAAACUGAACAGCUAGAGUAUGGUAGGGGCAAAGGGAAUUCCUGGUGUAGCGGUGAAAUGCGUAGAGAUCAGGAAGAACAUCGGUGGCGAAGGCGCUUUGCUGGACCAUAACUGACACUCAGGGACGAAAGCUAGGGGAGCGAAUGGGAUUAGAUACCCGUGUAGUC
rnacentral:rRNA from 1 species